AUGGUGCAGCCGGUGUUCGACGCGGCGGUGCUGAGCGGCCGGGCGGACAUCCCGUCGCAGUUCAUCUGGCCCGAGGGCGAGAGCCCGACCCCGGACGCCGCCGAGGAGCUGCACGUCCCGCUCAUCGACAUCGGCGGCAUGCUCUCCGGCGACGCCGCCGCGGCCGCCGAGGUGACGCGCCUCGUGGGCGAGGCCUGCGAGCGGCACGGCUUCUUCCAGGUCGUCAACCACGGCAUCGACGCCGAGCUGCUGGCGGACGCGCACCGCUGCGUGGACGCCUUCUUCACCAUGCCCCUCCCGGAGAAGCAGCGCGCGCUGCGCCGCCCCGGCGAGUCCUGCGGCUACGCCAGCAGCUUCACCGGCCGGUUCGCCUCCAAGCUGCCCUGGAAGGAGACGCUGUCCUUCCGCUCCUGCCCCUCCGACCCCGCCCUCGUCGUCGACUACAUCGUCGCCACCCUCGGCGAGGACCACCGCCGCCUCGGGGAGGUGUACGCCCGGUACUGCUCGGAGAUGAGCCGGCUGUCGCUGGAGAUCAUGGAGGUGCUCGGGGAGAGCCUGGGCGUCGGCCGCGCACACUACCGGCGCUUCUUCGAGGGCAACGACUCCAUCAUGCGCCUCAACUACUACCCGCCGUGCCAGCGGCCGAUGGAGACGCUGGGGACGGGCCCGCAUUGCGACCCGACGUCGCUGACCAUCCUCCACCAGGACAACGUCGGCGGGCUGCAGGUGCACACGGAGGGCCGGUGGCGUUCCAUCCGGCCGCGGGCCGACGCCUUCGUCGUCAACAUCGGCGACACCUUCAUGGCGCUCUCAAACGGGCGGUACAAGAGUUGUCUCCACCGCGCUGUCGUGAACAGCAAGGUCCCGAGGAAGUCGCUGGCCUUCUUCCUGUGCCCGGAGAUGGACAAGGUGGUGGCGCCGCCGGGGACGCUGGUGGACGCCGCCAACCCGCGCGCCUACCCGGACUUCACGUGGCGGUCGCUGCUCGACUUCACGCAGAAGCACUACCGCGCCGACAUGAAGACCCUCGAGGUGUUCUCCUCCUGGAUCGUCCAGCAGCAGCAGGGCCAGCUCGCCCUCCAGCCCCAGCCCGCCAGGACAUGA
rnacentral:rRNA from 1 species